rnacentral:rRNA from 1 species
GACGGGGUGGCAAGUGUUCUUCGGAAUGACUGGGCGUAAAGGGAACGUAGGCGGUGAAUCGGGUUGAAAGUGAAAGUCUCCAAAAACUAGCGGAAUUCUCUCGAAACCAAUUAACUUGAGUGAGACAGAGGAGAGUGGAAUUUUGUGUAUAGGGCUGAAAUCCGGAGAUCUACGAAGGAAUGCCAAAAGUGAAGGCAGCUCUCUGGGUCCCUAUCGACGAUGGGGUGCGAAAGCAUGGGGAGCGAACAGG